GUACUUGCCUCAGCAGCACAUACAUUAAAUUGAAAUGCAACAAAGAAGAUAAGCAUGGCCUCUAUGCAAAGAUGAGAUGCAAAUUUGUGAACACCAAUCAGAAAGGAUAUAU